GACACAUAUAUAUAAGUACAGAUGUGGGCCACAAUCUCAACUAUACAAGUGAAACAGGAGGUGGACCCUACACACAAAUAUACACGAACACAAUAUACUAAGAAGACUAGGCCCGUAAGGGUUCCAUUUUUCUGGUUUUUUUGAACUUUUUUUACCUACGUUGUUUGAGCGACACGUUACCUCCGUAUGUGUGUGCAGUACAUCCUACAGCGGCCUUCCUUUGUUUCUCUUUAAUAUUUGUUUGACUGCGCGUCCCAUGCAUGUCUUGCUCCAGUUCACAUGAGCUUUUCUGGUGGCCUUCUAGAUUUCCUGCGAUUGCUGCAUGGCCAUGCAUACCGCCACGUCUGCCUCACACGUUGUGACUGUCAGUUUACUGAUGGACACGUUGCCUUCUAGGCUUUUACCUUCUCUGUUGGGGUGACGCGUGUGCGUGAAAGUUUUCUGGGAUGUGUUCGAUUUCAUUCUUCCUUUGCUUGGAUUGUUCAAGCACAUUUUGUUUAUUGAUGCAUAGGUGUGAUGGGCUCUCCUGGAAGGUUCUUCCUUAAAAAGGAGAUGUAUGGGCUGAUUUUGUCUCAUGCCAAAAGAUUAGGUUGACCACGCAUGGCUCUUCUGGAGAUGUAUGGGCUGGUUUUGUUUUUAGCACCGCUGCAUGGCUCAUCAUGCAUGCAUGUGGCCACGUUUGCGUGUUGUAUAGUUGUCUCUCUGUGUUAUGGAGGGACACGUUGUGUUCUUGGUCUUUCUUGGUCUUUCUGGUGGGUUCUUUCUUCAUCUCCUUUUGCUUGCCUAUAAGUAGCUCCUUGCUAUGUUGGUCCUUCAUUCAGUUUCCACAUCCUUCCCUAGAUUGGUCUUCUUGAUUCAGUUUUCGCCUCACUGGCACAUCCAUUCUCUCCAGGCUCUAGCACCGUCUUGCCUCCGGCAGUUGGAGACGGAGCAUCUGGUCAUGGAAAGCCGCAUCAGGACGUUCGGUGCGGUGGUCAUGGCGCACCAUGCUGGGUCUACUUCACCAUCGUCGUGCUCCGCAGCCGCCUACAGCCGACGCACCGAUGAGGUCCGACAUGGAGCACAGUAGCAAGCACCAGUUUGAGGCGAGGUAUAUCGCAUUGGUCUCCUGCUGCUCACAGGCGAGGCCUCGGACGAGCGGCCAAAUCCACGUGAGGUGGAUGUUGCAGGCACGACCAUCUCCCCUUCCUCCCUUCUUUUUCCCUCCAACUACCAUGUUAUCUUUACCAUGUCUUCUUUCCUUGUUAUAUUGUUUUUUCACCCAUAGGGAUAGAGACGUUACCUCAGUUCGGCAACGAAGCCAGUGAUUUGUACUAUCCAAUAAUUUUCGUUAAUACGGUAAAAACUUAUUUCAGUCCACCUGACGGAACGAGUUUGCAUUUUGCAUCUGAUGAUGUCAGAACUUAUGGAAAGUUUCUAAAGGAAAUUAUGACAUGGUAUUUUUCUUCACCCUUGAUUUGUUCCAUUCGUAUUAUCUGCUCUGCCCUAGGUUCGUCCCCAAUUAUAAAAUUUGGAGCCUCCCGCUGAAGGUCCAAGGAGGUGGAAGCAUGAACAAUGCCCUCAUCAAAUCAAUUUAACUGGAUUCGAAUCGAAGGAUGACUUUCGAGAAAAGGUAGUACGCAACUUCAUUUAUAUUAUGCACUUGGCAGGGAUGUUCUCAAGGAAUUGCAAGAUGAUGGGCUAUACACUUCACAUAGCCUGAGACCAUGGUGAGUACAUGGUCUUUUGACUUACUUUCUUUGUAGUUGUUUUACAAAUUGAGGAGGGGUAGCAGAUGGAUGGCAUUGCCAUGCAGAACUGAAAACACUGUUGUAUGACUACAGACUCUUCACUGGAAUAAAAAUAGUUAUGUGGUGUUUGGUCGGACGUGCGCAUUUGCAGCACCAUGGGGUACUCUUUGGCUGAAGUACAUAUUUUGUAUCUUCUUUGGACCUAAAUCAGACUGUUCAAGUGGUGUUUGCUCAGAA